rnacentral:rRNA from 1 species
GCUGGCGGCGUGCUUAACACAUGCAAGUCGUGCGCGAAAGUGGCUUCGGCCACGAGUAGAGCGGCGAACGGGUGCGUAACACGUGGGUAACCUGCCCUUGAGUGGGGGAUAACUCGGGGAAACCUGAGCUAAUACCGCAUACGAUGCAGAGUCGCAUGGCUCUGUAGGAAAGCUGGCCUCUGAUUCAAGCUAGCGCUCUUGGAGGGACCCGCGCCCGAUUAGCUUGUUGGUGAGGUAACGGCUCACCAAGGCGAUGACGCGUAGCGGGUCUGAGAGGACGACCCGCCACAUUGGGACUGAGAUACGGCCCAGACUCCUACGGGAGGCAGCAGUGGGGAAUAUUGCGCAAUGGUCGCAAGACUGACGCAGCGACGCCGCGUGUGGGAGGAAGCCUUUCGGGGUGUAAACCACUGUCAGGGGGGAAGAACCUCCUGGAUGUAAACAGCAUCCGGGACUGACGGUACCCCCAGAGGAAGCGCCGGCUAACUCCGUG